rnacentral:rRNA from 1 species
CCCUUAGAUGUUCUGGGCCGCACGCGCGCUACACUGAUGCAUUCAACAAGCCUAGCCUUGACCGAGAGGUCCGGGUAAUCUUUGAAACUGCAUCGUGAUGGGGCUAGAUUAUUGCAAUUAUUAAUCUUCAACGAGGAAUGCCUCGUAAGCGUGAUUCAUCAAAUCGCGUUGAUUACGUCCCUGCCCUUUGUACACACCGCCCGUCGCUCCUACCGAUUGAAUGUGUUGGUGAGGAGCUCGGAUUGGCAGCAGUUGGUGGUUCGCCACCGGCUAUUGCUGAGAAGUCCUCCAAACCGCCCCAUUUAGAGGAAGGAGAAGUCGUAACA